rnacentral:rRNA from 1 species
AUGGCCCCCAAGCAUGCCGGCCGUGGCAAGGGCCGGGGCGGCGGCGGCAAGGGCGACCGCAAGAAGAAGGAGGAGAAAGUGGUGCCGAGCGUGGUGGACGUCGCGGUCACCACCCCCUACGAGUCCCAGGUGACACUCAAGGGGAUAUCGACGGAUCGCGUGCUGGACGUGCGGAAGCUGCUGGCGUCCAACGUGGAGACGUGUCACCUCACAAACUAUUCACUCUCCCAUGUGGUGCGUGGGCAGCGGCUGGAGGAGGGCGUGGAGAUCGUGGCGCUGAAGCCGUGCGCGCUCACCAUCGUGGAAGAGGAGUACGCGACGGAGGAGGCCGCGGUGGCGCACGUCCGCCGGCUGCUGGACAUCGUCGCCUGCACCACCGCCUUCGCCAAGGCCAAGCAGCACAAGUCCUCGUCCAAGCACGCGCAGCGCCCCGCCACGCCCCCGUCCCCCCCACCCGCCUCCUCCCCCGGGGCCAAUGGCGUCGGCGCCGGCGAGGCGCCCGCGAUUUCGGAGGCGCACGACAUGCAGGCCAUCGGCCCGCCGCCCAAGCUCGGCGAGUUCUACGACUUCUUCUCCUUCGCCCACCUCACCCCGCCCCUCCACUUUAUCAGGAGGAAGGAGAGGAACGGCGCUGCCCAGGACGGCGAUUACUUCGAAAUCGAGGUGAAGGUUUGCAACGGGAAGCUUCUGCACAUAAUUUCCUCGGUCAAGGGAUUCUACCUGGUGGGGAAGCCGCACACCGUGAGCCGGUCCCUGGUGGACCUGCUACAGCAGCUCAGCAGUGGAUUUGCCAAUGCGUACGAGGCACUGAUGAAAGCUUUUGUGGACCACAACAAGUUUGGGAAUCUACCGUUCGGCUUUCGUGCAAACACAUGGCUUGUUCCUCCUGUAUAUGUGGACUCUGCUACAAAGAGCCCAGCUUUGCCGGCUGAGGAUGAGAACUGGGGUGGCAAUGGAGGUGGCUGCGGACGAGAUGGAAAACAUGACCGGAGACGGUGGGCAAGAGAAUUUUCUAUUUUGGCUAGAAUGCCAUCCAAGACCGAGGAAGAGAGGGUGAUCAGAGACCGGAAGGCUUUCCUUUUACACAAUCUGUUUGUAGAUACAGCGAUUUUCAGAGCUGCGUCGACAAUACGGCGGCUGGUUGAUACUAGUCCACAAACUGGUCCGGAUGGUUCGUUAGUACUUGAGGAACGUGUUGGGGACUUGCAUAUAACUGUAAAGAAGGAUGAGGCUGAUGCUAGUUUGAAGUUGGAGGACAAAGUUGACAGAGUUGCCAUCUACCAGACGGAUGCUAUGGAUAUAUCACAAAGAAAUCUUCUGAAAGGUUUAACCUCUGAUGAGAGUGUCGUUGCUAAGGACUCUUCCACGCUAGGUGUGGUGAUUGUUAAGCAUUGCGGAUAUACGGCAACAGUGAAGGUUUCGGGACGCACAAAGAACAGCAGCGAUGGCAAACAAACCAGUGAUAUCUCUGAUCAUCUUGAUGAAAUACCUAACAUCGAUGUGGAUGAUCAUCCAGAUGGAGGUUCUAAUGCCUUGAAUCCUCACAGUCUAAGAAUACCACUGCCGAAAAUUAUCAACCCAGAAAUCGUUGCCAGUAACCAGCACCUUGCAUCUAAACCACAUGUUGAUAAUUAUGCGAGGAAACUAGCAUGUACAGUACUUGAAACCAGCUUGAGGAAACUGGAGAACACCCCGAACAAAAAUCCUAGACGUAUCAGGUGGGAACUUGGGUCCUCCUGGCUCCAGCACUUCCAGAAAAAAGAUGCUUCCAUUUCUGAGGACAGUGAGAAGAAUGCAAAAAAAUCUGAAAAAGAUUCAUCUGUCAAAGGUCUCGGCAAGCACUUUGAACAAUUAAGAAAAAUUAAUAAGAAAGAAAGCACUAUUGAAGAUGCUAAGACUGUUAAGGAAGAAUCUGAUAGCAACUGCCUGCUGACAAAUGGUACGGAGAAGUCUGAAAAUGUAGUAUUUACCGAAAUAAGGAACCUGAUUACAGAGGAUGCUUUCUGCCGCUUGAAGAGUUUGGAAGCUGGCCUUCAUCAAAAGUCCCUUGAAGAGCUCACAAAGAUGGCCCAUAAGUUCUAUGAUGAUACUGCACUCCCAAAGCUGGUGGCUGAUUUUGCUUCCCUUGAACUUUCUCCAGUGGAUGGAAGAACGAUGACUGAUUUCAUGCAUACAAGGGGACUAAAUAUGUGCUCAUUAGGCCGUUUGGUAGAGCUAGGAGAGAAGCUCCCACACAUCCAGUCAAUAUGCAUCCAUGAAAUGGUCAUUCGAGCCUUUAAGCACGUCAUUCGAGCUGUUAUUGCAGCUGUUGAUGACAUGCAAAAUAUGUCUGCGGUUAUAGCCGAGACUUUGAACAUUUUACUGGGAUCUCCAAGAUUAGAAAAUGAUCUUGAUACAGAUGCUAAUGAGCAUAACUUGCGGCUGAAAUGGGUAGAGAGCUUCCUUUCUAAAAGAUACUGCUGGACACUGAAAGAUGAAUUUGCGCACUUGCGGAAGCCCAUCAUUCUGAGAGGCCUUUGCAGCAAGGUUGGCCUUGAGUUAGUCGCAAGAGAUUAUGAUAUGAAUAGCCCAAACCCGUUUGACAAAUCCGACAUUGUCAACAUAGUUCCUAUAUGCAAGCAUGUCGUCUACUCAUCUAUUGAUAGUCGAAACUUACUAGAAUCAUCAAAGAUGGCUUUGGAUAAAGGAAAGCUUGAUGAUGCUGUUAACUAUGGAGCAAAGGCCUUGUCCAAAGUUAUAGCUGUUUGUGGUCCAUACCAUCGGCUGACUGCUAAUGCAUACAGUCUUCUUGCUGUAGUUCUUUACCAUACUGGAGAUUUUAAUCAGGCAACUAUAUAUCAACAGAAGGCACUUGAUAUCAAUGAAAGGGAGCUUGGUCUUGACCAUCCGGAAACUAUGAAGAGCUAUGGUGAUUUGUCAGUUUUCUACUACCGUCUCCAACACAUUGAGAUGGCUCUGAAGUAUGUCAACCGUGCACUUUAUCUACUUCAAUUUUCUUGUGGGCUUUCACAUCCAAAUUCAGCUGCCACCUACAUAAAUGUGGCUAUGAUGGAAGAAGGUAUGGGAAAUGUUCAUGUUGCUCUAAGGUAUUUGCAUGAAGCGCUAAAAUGCAACAAGAGAUUGCUUGGAGCUGAUCACAUACAGACUGCUGCAAGCUACCAUGCCAUAGCCAUAGCCCUCUCCAUGAUGGAUGCGUACUCCCUAAGCGUGCAACAUGAACAAACCACCUUACAGAUACUUCAGGAGAAACUAGGAGACGAUGACCUUCGAACUCAGGAUGCUGCUGCUUGGCUAGAGUAUUUCGAUUCAAAAGCAUUAGAACAACAAGAGGCCGCUCGCAGAGGAAUCCCAAAACCUGAUUCUUCUAUUGCAAGUAAAGGGCAUCUUAGUGUAUCAGAUCUACUUGACUACAUAAGCCCGGAUCAGGAAAGAAAAGAGAGGGAUAUGCAAAAGAAGUGCAGGCGUGCAAAGAAUAAUACAAGAGCACACCAAGGUGAACCAGUUGAAGAGAAGGAGAACUUUCAGCAUGACUCAGGAUCUCUUCUUGAAGCAGACAAAAAGGAUUUUCAAGAAGCAAAACUGGAAGCAAACCCUCGUGUAGUAGCAGCAGUAGCAGAAGAAACUUAUGCUGUCCAUGAUGAGCUGAAGCAGGUAGAUACUUUGUCACCUGAAGAGUAUUCUGAUGAAGGUUGGCAAGCAGCUACAUUGAAAGGGAGAUCUGCAAAUGUGCGGAAAAAAAGCAUCCGCAGAAGGUCAUCUCUCACCAAAUUAGUGGUUGAUCGUACAGAAGAUGGCCGCACUGCUUCUGCUCAUAGGAGUGGUGUACAACCACAAGCAAAAGAGCAUAAAGAGGAAGCUGUAAACUCCCCUAGCCAACUGUCAUUUGGCAACUUUAUCAGAAGUGACAAGUUGAAUGGGGAUCCCGUCAUUACCGAAGAGAAGUCUUCUAAGGGUGCGUCUAAAUCGGAAUGGAAGGUAAAGCCCACAGGAAUCAAGAGGCCAACUAGCAUAGCUUCAAAGCUGGUAUCAUACAAAGAUGUGGCAGUGUCACCGCCUGGCACAAUGUGGAAACCAAUUGUGGAACAGAAGGAAACAAAGGAGAAGGAUAACGAACAAGAUACUGAUGUAGCACCUUCAUCCGAGGAAGGAGAUAGAAAGCUUAUAGAUGAAGAGAAGGAGAAGUCAAGUGAUGAGAGCAGCAAAGAGAAUGUCUCAACUCAGCCAGAGGGAAGCAGUCCCCCAGAGCCAGAGAAAGCUUCUGACAGCAAUAGUGACGGAAGCUCAUCUCCGGGCAAGAAAACAAGUGGAAGCAAACUUUCAGCCUCAGCACCUCCAUUCAAACCUGGAUCACUCUUAUCAGUGUCCCAUCCUUACAGCACAGUGGCAAUAUAUGAUGCCAGCGUUGUGCUUCAGCCAAUCCCAAGUCAAGCAAUGGAGAUUCUCCCUCAUGCUGUCGAUACUAGAGUACCCCGUGGUCCUCGGUCCACCUUGUACUAUCGUACUGGACAUUCUUUCCAAAGGAAACAGGGUUAUACACAGAGCCAGAGCACUAUUCUGAGGGGCAGCACCUCCCCUCCAACCAUGAACCCCCAUGCUGCUGAGUUUGUGCCUGGAAAAACUGUGCAACAAACUGAUUUGGCUGCAGGGGAACAAACUAAUUCUGUAAGUGAUCCAGCAGAUCAGCAGUUGGCAUCACAUGCCUCAGAUGGAGUGAAAGUCGAUGUUCGUGAGGCAGACAAGGCAGGUCAAGUGGAGAAGACAACUCCAGGUAAAGUGAAGGAACGAGCGAAAGAGGCGACAAGAGAUUCAUACAAAGCAGAACUUGCAAGGCAGAUUCUGCUCAGCUUCAUUGUCAAGUCGGUCCAUGACAGCUUAGGUUCGACUCGACCUCAACCGGACAGAAAACCAAGCGGGUCAGAUGAAGCUAGUAACGAACAGAGCAGCAACGUAACCAAGACUGCCGUAAGUCCGAAAGAGUUCGACAAACAACCGAAGGCCGCCGAGGUGCCCAAGAGCGAGAAGGAUACAGAGGGGUUUACAGUGGUCUCAAAGCGUAGGAAAAGCAAGCAGCACUUCGUGAACCCCAUAAACGGUCUCUACUCUCAGCAGUCAAUCUGCACUUCGGUCAGCUGA